UACAUAGGGCCCAAGCGUUGUUCGGAUUCACUGGGCGUAAAGGGUGCGUAGGCGGUCGGGUAAGUCUGAUGUGAAAUCUCACAGCUUAACUGUGAAACUGCAUUGGAUACUAUCCGGCUAGAGGAAUGGAGGGGAGACUGGAAUACUUGGUGUAGCAGUGAAAUGCGUAGAUAUCAAGUGGAACACCAGUGGCGAAGGCGAGUCUCUGGACAUUUCCUGACGCUGAGGCACGAAAGCCAGGGGAGCAAACGGG
rnacentral:rRNA from 1 species